GAGGAGGAGGAGGAGGAGGACGGACAAUCUCCUCGGCCGAUUCCUUCGAUUCGAAUGCCUCGUCCAUCGAUCGAGCCCUACGAGCCCCGAAUCCGAAAGGAACCGAUGAAUUUCGUGGAGGCAGGGCAAUUGUAUCGUUCGAACGAAAAAAAUUCCUCGCCGUUUUUUUCACACGGACGUCGUCGGUCACGUGACGACGCGUCGUCGUAACGGGUCGUGGGCGAAGGAUCGGACGCGAAACGCAAUUUAACAGGGUGAACGUCGCGACAGGGGCCGCCGAUACUUUCUCUUGCGCGGUCCAUCAAAAUUCUUCCGCCGUGUUUAGCCACGCACGAGUCGUUGGAACACGCACCGGCCAAACCGGAAAACCGUGCCCGUAAUCGACGAUAUCCGCCCGCAAUUCAGAUGGAACGUUUCUGGAUGGAACACGCACCGAUAGACACACUUCGGUAAGAGAGAGACUCCGGUCUAAUCUGACUGCCACGAGAUGAAGGAAAUUACGAGACGCUUCCUGGACGAUAAAAAAUAAUUGUCAUGCGCGAGAAGGAUUGCAGCUUAGUCAUGCACCUGGAAACUUGUUCGUGGGAGUUGUAGCGCUCAAUGAGAGAGACGUGGAUAUAAUUACAGAGGAGUGUAACGAAUUUUUUUUUACCAAGGAAUCGAAUCGCCUUGACGAAGUUAUAUUUUUUUUCUUUUUUCCUCCCAGAAUAAGGAAAGAAGAUUUCCGUGAAAUAUAUUCGAAAGAAACAAAUAAUUAAAUAUUAAAAUGUUAAAUUUUUUUGUAAUCGUAUUGCCAAUAAUGGCAAUCGCGCUUGUCCUCCCGAUUGUUUAUUAAUUAUUAAAACAAGCAAAAUUUAUAAAACGACACGCACAUCUUUUCUCGCUCGAAAAAAAAUAGCACUUUAUCAUUUGACCUUUACGAGGAAUCAUCGAGUAAUUAUAGUAAUUACAAAUUGCUGGACGUUAAGGUAAUCGGUCGAUUUCCAAUUUUUUAUUUAAGAAAUGUUUGCAACAAAAGUAUCCACGGAUCUCGAAGUUGAAACGCGUCGUAAUUGUCUUGUCUUUUCUCCUUCGAAAUCCGACAUUUCGAUCGAAUUAUACAAGGUGGCUUUAUCCGAGCGUAACGAGAGAGGAAGAUUUGUUGGAUGGACGCGCGCGCGCGCGUGGAAGAUCGUUCGAAGGUGUUUCUCGGAAAGAAAACAUUGGAGAUCGAUUCGGGGACGAAAUUCACGAGUUUAAGAAAACGUUCGAGCAAGCAGUCUCGUUUCGAAUUCGAUCGAUCCAAUCGAUCGGGAGAAAUAGGAGCGGAUAGCGUUUUCUUUUCUUUUCGUCGGUCGGUUUAAUUCGAUGGAGAAUGAGAUUGAGAAAAGGAUGGCGGAAUCGGGAAGAUGACGACGCGGUUCUUAUCUAAGAACCGAGACGCGACGGGAGACGAGACUGGAGCAAUUCGACCACCAGUCACGUAUAAAUUUUUGUAGGAAACCAGGCCCGCGUGUUUUUCGCUCUCCGCUAUCCGACUCUCCUCCACCUGCGGAGAAAUUUGAUUUCCUAGACGUUGCACUAUACGACGGAUCGACAGAUGAUGCGAAAGAGAAAGAGGAAACGCGGAUCGUCCUUGAUCUACAUCUACGCGGCAACGAAUUUCCUAAUGAUCCUAUCCUCCUUCUAUCCUCGUUCCCCCCUCCCCUCGUAUAUACACGUAUGUAAAUUCGAAUUUCAGGGAAUUUGUUUCUAAGAAUACGAAUAGAGCGGAGAGUUCGUUCCGAGAUAAAUCGAGUCGCGUCAAACGAACGAUUGACGUACGCUCACGCGCAACAUUUACA